GAAGCUGACCAGACAGUCGCCGCUUCGUCGUCGUCCUCUUCGGGGGAGACGGGCGGAGGGGAGGAAAGUCCGGGCUCCAUAGGGCAGGGUGCCAGGUAACGCCUGGGGGGGAAACCCACGACCAGUGCAACAGAGAGCAAACCGCCGAUGAGGCUGCUUGAGCCAGUGAGCGAUUGCUGGCCUAGAUGAAUGACUGUCCACGACAGAACCCGGCUUAUCGGUCAGCUUCACUC
rnacentral:RNase_P_RNA from 1 species